AUUGAACGCUGGCGGCGUGCCUAACACAUGCAAGUCGAGCGGUAACAGGCGUAGCAAUACGUGCUGACGAGCGGCGAACGGGUGAGCAAUGCUUCGGAAUCUGCCCAAUGAUGGGGAAUA
rnacentral:rRNA from 1 species